rnacentral:rRNA from 1 species
CCGGGGAAUUUUGGACAAUGGGGGCAACCCUGAUCCCCCCAUUCCGCGUGAGUGAAGAAUGCCUUCGGGUUGUAUAGCUCUUUUGUCCGGAACGAAUCGGUGAAAGCGAAUAUCGUUCGCUACUGACGGUACCGGAAGAAUAAGCACCGGCUAACUACGUGCCAGCAGCCGCGGUAAUACGUAGGGUGCGAGCGUUAAUCGGAAUUACUGGGCGUAAAGCGUGCGCAGGCGGUUUUGUAAGCCAGAUGUGAAAUCCCCGGGCUUAACCUGGGAAUGGCAUUUGGGACUGCAAGGCUCGAGUGCGGCCCAGGAGACUGGAAUUCCUGGUGUAGCAGUGAAAUGCGUAGAUAUCAAGAGGAACACCGAUGGCGAAGGCAGGUCUCUGGGCUGACACUGACGCUCAUGCACGAAAGCGUGGGGAGCAAACAGGAUUAUAUACCCUGGUAGUCCACGCCCUAAACGAUGUCGACUGGUUGUUGGGGGUUUGACACUCUCAGUAACGAAGCUAACGCGUGAAGUCGACCGCCUGGGGAGUACGGCCGCAAGGUUAAAACUCAAAGGAAUUGACGGGGACCCGCACAAGCGGUGGAUUAUGUGGAUUAAUUCGAUGCAACGCGAAAAACCUUACCUACCCUUGACAUGUCCGGAAGCCUGCUGAGAGGCGGGUGUGCCCGAAAGGGAACCGGAACACAGGUGCUGCAUGGCUGUCGUCAGCUCGUGUCGUGAGAUGUUGGGUUAAGUCCCGCAACGAGCGCAACCCUUGUCAUUAGUUGCUACAUUCAGUUGGGCACUCUAAUGAGACUGCCGGUGACAAACCGGAGGAAGGUGGGGAUGACGUCAAGUCCUCAUGGCCCUUAUGGGUAGGGCUUCACACGUAAUACAAUGGCGCGUACAGAGGGCUGCUAAGCCGCGAGGUAGAGCCAAUCCCUUAAAGCGCGUCGUAGUCCGGAUUGCAGUCUGCAACUCGACUGCAUGAAGUCGGAAUCGCUAGUAAUCGCGGAUCAGCAUGUCGCGGUGAAUACGUUCCCGGGUCUUGUACACACCGCCCGUCACACCAUGGGAGUGGGUUCCACCAGAAGCCGGUCGCCUAACCGCAAGGGGGGCGCCGACCACGGUGAGAUUCAUGACUGGGGUG